rnacentral:rRNA from 1 species
UACGUAGGGCGCGAGCGUUGUCCGGAAUUAUUGGGCGUAAAGAGCUCGUAGGCGGCCGGUUGCGUCUGCUGUGAAAUCCCGGGGCUUAACCCCGGGCGUGCAGUGGAUACGGGCCGGCUGGAGGCAGGUAGGGGAGAAUGGAAUUCCCGGUGUAGCGGUGAAAUGCGCAGAUAUCAGGAGGAACACCAAUAGCGAAGGCAGCUCGCUGGGACGGUACUGACGCUGAGGCGCGAAAGCUAGGGGAGCAAACAGG